rnacentral:rRNA from 1 species
GGAUGCAAUCAUACCAGCACUAAUGCACCGGAUCCCAUCAGAGAUCCGCAGUUAAGCGUGCUUGGGUGAGAGUAGUACUAGGUUGGGUGACCUUCUAGGAAGUCCUGGUGUUGCACCCC